GGUUACUGCUAUCGGUGUUCGCUUAAGCCAUGCGAGUCAUAUGUUCUUCGGAACAUGGCGUACUGCUCAGUAACACGUGGAUAACCUGCCCUUGGGUCCGGCAUAACCCCGGGAAACUGGGGAUAAUUCCGGAUAACGCACAUAUGCUGGAAUGCUUUAUGCGUCAAAUGGAUUCGUCCGCCCAAGGAUGGGUCUGCGGCCUAUCAGGUAGUAGUGGGUGUAAUGUACCUACUAGCCUACGACGGGUACGGGUUGUGAGAGCAAGAGCCCGGAGAUGGAUUCUGAGACAUGAAUCCAGGCCCUACGGGGCGCAGCAGGCGCGAAAACUUUACAAUGCGGGAAACCGUGAUAAGGGGACACCGAGUGCCAGCAUCAUAUGCUGGCUGUCCGGGUGUGUAAAAUACACCUGUUAGCAAGGGCCGGGCAAGACCGGUGCCAGCCGCCGCGGUAACACCGGCGGCCCGAGUGGUGAUCGUGAUUAUUGGGUCUAAAGGGUCCGUAGCCGGUUUGGUCAGUCCUCCGGGAAAUCUGACGGCUUAACCGUUAGGCUUUCGGGGGAUACUGCCAGACUUGGAACCGGGAGAGGUAAGAGGUACUACAGGGGUAGGAGUGAAAUCUUGUAAUCCCUGUGGGACCACCUGUGGCGAAGGCGUCUUACCAGAACGGGUUCGACGGUGAGGGACGAAAGCUGGGGGCACGAACCGGAUUAGAUACCCGGGUAGUCCCAGCCGUAAACGAUGCUCGCUAGGUGUCAGGCAUGGAGCGACCGUGUCUGGUGCCGCAGGGAAGCCGUGAAGCGAGCCACCUGGGAAGUACGGCCGCAAGGCUGAAACUUAA
rnacentral:rRNA from 1 species